AAAGCACCAUAGCAGCUUCAGAUAGCCAUGGAAACAGGAGGCUGGGAGAGGCAGCUGCAGCAGGCAAGAACAUGCCAAGUUUCUUGGUCUUGUUUUGUCUGUGCAAAGGAAACAGAAGUAUUUUGCCAGAGGCUUGACUGAACCAUGCUGAUGGAAAUUCCUGUUUGAAGAGAGGAAGAUUUUCUUUCUAUGGUACUAAAACAACUGGAGGCUGCACAGAACUGUUCGUGCAGAACCAUUCUUAAUAGAAGACUACAAGGAGUUGACCAUCUAAAUGGACAAAAGGAAAAUACACACAUAAACUGCAG
ensembl:lncRNA